GACGAACGCUGGCGGCAUGCUUUACACAUGCAAGUCGGACGAGUGGCGAACGGGUGAGUAAUAUAUUGGAAAGUACCGAGUAAAGGGGGAUAACCAAUCGAAAGAUUGGCUAAUACCGCAUAUUAUUCGAGCGGCCCAUAUCGGAUUAGCUAUUGUGGGGGGUAAAGGCCUACCAAGGCGACGAUCAGUAGCGGGGCUGAGAGGAUGAUCCGCCCCACUGGAACCGAGACACGGCCCAGACUCCUACGGGAGGCAGCAGUGGGGAAGUUUGGACAAUGGGCGCAAGCCUGAUCCAGCCAUGCCGCGUGUCUGAAGAAGGCCUUCGGGUUGUAAAGGACUUUUGUUAGGGAAGCGGUACCUAAAGAAUAAGCACCGGCUAACUACGUGCCAGCAGCCGCGGUAAUAC
rnacentral:rRNA from 1 species